GUGUGUAAUUAUGCUAAUGGUGUUAGAGUGUGUUGUGUGUGUGGUGGGGGAUAACAUGGCGCAUGCUCGCCUCUCGGCUCGCACACCACAUCAUCACCCCCCCCUACUGUGCACGGUGCAUACAAACAUAGACUCGCUGAUGAUCCUUCCGCAGGUUCACCUACGGAAA
rnacentral:misc_RNA from 1 species